GUAUGACUGUGUGUCACACGUUCAUGUGCAUUCAUGUAAUUGUUGAAUAUUGUGAAAUUGGGUAUAAAAUUAUAUAUAUUAAACUAUGUGGUUUGAUUGACACUGUUGAAUUGUUCCUGUGGUGUUGAAGUGUUCUUUUCGUAUUCUUUGAACUUAGUAAUCCCUUUAACCCCUUGGGUGUUAGGCACCCUACUGAGCAAUGUGGAAAUGCUCACCCCUUCCUUGUUACACCUUUUUAGAUGCAGAUAUCUCUCCUGAGGAUCCACAGGUGGGACAUGGAGGACUUCAGGAUGCUCCUGGAGCGGCCUAGUGGAGCGUGGCAUUUAUUUGUUAUUGUGUUCCUUUUUGGAUUUUGGGGAUUUGUUUUAGCAAUUAUGACUCAUGGAUUUGCUAUGAAGCUUUAUUUGAUUAAGUUGUUAAUUGUGAACUUUUAUUUUGGACUAUAAUGAAUAUUUAUUUAAUCUUGUUGUUUUGAGUAGUUUUGGGAUAUUGUAAUUUAUGAGAAUUCUAGUGAGAUGUAUAAAAAAAAAAAAAUCCAGAGUGUUUUGGUUGACUGCCAACAUGGAUUAGGAGGAACCCUUAGGGUCAAACCUUUGACCUGGGGUCACGGGUCAAAUUUUGGGUCGCCCGGAAUUUGGGUCGUGACACUUCUUGUUUGGAAUAUCUACACCUGAAUGGAACCAGAGACUCCAGAUAGCCUUUUAGAGUAAUGAUGGGGGAAACUGCUUUACCAAUUGCUUGAAUCCUCUCCUGAUCUCCAAAAUUUCAAUGCUUUUUAGAGUAAUGAUGGUGGACAUGAGAUCCUUGAAGGGAAUACCACAGUUUUGGUUUUGUUGUAUGCAUCCCCUUUGCUCUUAGCUUCUCUUUUAAGGCUCCCAUGACUCUGUUGGCCAAAUAAUUUGAGUUCGAGUUAAUCUAAUAUUAGUUAACUAAUUAAUUAUUAAAUUGUAUGCAGAUCUCACUAGGUAAUCUAUUCCCUUUCUUUAUUCUAUAAAAAAUCUAAUUACAAUACUAUAUGAAUUUAGAAAAUAUUCUAUAUAAUAAUUUUUUAUUAAAAAAAAUUAUAUAUUCCAAUUAAAAAGUUGAGACACUUCCAAUAGAUUUUAAAAAACAAAUUUUUCAUACACAGAUGAACAUGAAGGGAAAGUAGAGAAGAAUAGGGUGGAGUUCUAUAUAUAAGAAAAUUUUUAAACUAUUGUAGACAUAAAUAAAUUACCAUUAAUUUGGUCUUCUAAAAAAAAAAGGAUAAGUCUUAUUAUCUUGUUGGUAAAACCUACUGGAAAAUAAAAUUUGCUAAAAUUAAGGAACUAAAUCCCUUGAAUUAAGCAACUAAAAUUGGGGAAUUUGAAAUUCAAAUUCUCUAUCUUCACCUAUAAAUAGAGAUGUCUUCCAUCAAGAAGAUGAAAGGGAAGAAAAUUCAGAAAUCAAAGAAAAACUCCCUACAAGUUCGAUAAGCAGCAAAAGAACUAAUACACUCGUUCUUUGCCGUUCAACAAGGUCAUUCGGGAAUAAACUACUUGUGGCCCUCAAUCGACCUUUGAAAUCAAGAAAAAAUAUUCUUUGUUAGAAAGAAUAUUAUUAUUAUUUUUUUGAGAUUGUACACACGAUAUUCUUGAAUUUAAUAAAUCAUUUGUUCACACUAUUUUUCCUAUUUUAUUUUGCUAAUUUCGUAGGAUAAAAUUUACGAAAUUUUGAAAAUAUUAAAACAUUGUCAAUAUUUUCAUUAAGAUAUAUGUAAUUAGUGAUGCAUUUGUUGAAAAAAGGUACCCAUGUUUCAAUGAUAUUUGAUUAUCUUCUUUAUAAACAUCAUAUAGAAUAUUGAAUAUAUUACAAAGAGAUGUGUAAAAAUGGAAAAAUAAAAUAAAAUAAAAUUUGAAAUCCAUUAAACUAUUCAUGAUUUUUUUAACUCUCCUUUAAUUUCUUUUUCCUUCUUAAAUUAUUUAAUAACUUUUCAUUAAAUUAUCUGUUUUUUCUUCAUUUUUUUAGUUGGCAUCCAAACAAUACGUAGGACAGAAUAUAGGAUAAAAUCAAGGACAACUCUCUCUUUAUCUAUGGGUUUGACUAUCUUUUAGCUUUUUUAUUUAUUUAUUUUUAAAAAUUGAUGUAGGACAACCCUAGGAUGGUCGCCUACACUCAAGGGUAGGUGGGCUAGGGUUUUAUUUUUAAGGUGUAAGGAGAGGAACAAGGAAUAAAUUUUAUGGUAGAGAAAAUUAUAAGAUAAGAAAUAGAGAGAAAGAAGAAACAAUGAAGAAAAGAUGGAAAACCUUAGAGUCUCACUAAGGCCUUCUAGGAGUCUCACCUAGAAGAAAAUCAAUGGAGUCUCACCAUUGAAGGUUGCAACCUUGCAAUGAAAGAAAAUAUAAUAUUAUUCAUCAAAUUCAUCCUUUUGAUUUACAUUGAUUAGCCUAUUUAUAGGCUUAUCUAAGAAAUCCAAAGUCUACUAGGACUCUAAUAACCUAUUCUACUAGGACUCUAAUAACCUAUCAUGACUCAAAUUCUAAUUAUAUUAUAACUCAACUAGCUAAUCCUAAUUAGACUCCAACAAAUAUUAAUCCUAAUUCAAUUCCAAGUAAUAAUAAUCCUACUUUAAUUACAACUAAUACUAAUUCCCUUUCUUGAUAUAUAUCUUGAAUAUUCAUCCUCAUCAAUUCCUCCUGACUUGAAAAAAACUCGACCUCGAGUUUUAGUGAUUUUCCACAAUCAAUUGAAAUUCCGAGCAAUGCCUUCCACCCUUUCUUUCUUCAUCGUCUCUUUCCCAUGGUAAGACAAGAUCUCAAGAUCUCUUGAACUUGUUCAAUUUCAUGCAAGAUAAAUACUGGACUUCGAAAAACUUUUUGAUGUUGUACAACAAGUUGAUAAUUCUCGAAAUAAUUAUGUGUCUUCAACAAACUUGUGGGAAGUUGUUUCCCACACUCUUCUUGUAAAUUGUUUUGUGGAAGAAUAAGAUUCUUUAAUUCCCUAUAUUCAAAAGAAAUUUCAGCAGAUUCUUCAUGUUUGCCACCACUCACGAUAAUGCUUGGCCUUGGGAAGUCAAACAUCGAUUCUUCUUAAACUUCUGAAACUUCUUUGAGCUCUUCUAUUGGUUGAUCUAAGAUUAGUUUCAUCAUCUCUUGCUUUCUAGAUUCAUCAUUGAUGAUUUCUUCGUCCUUUCUAGUAACUUCGACUUGCUUUUUAAUAAGAAUAUUUGAUGGCUCUUCUAGUUUCAAGGGUGCCACUUUUUCCUCUGGUUGCUUAUGUGGUAGAAUUUCCUUCAUUGGACGAAGGAUCUUCUUUCGCCCAUUGUGCACAAGUGUGUAAGUGUUCUCAUAGCCAUCAUGUUGGACCCUUUCAUCAAAAAGCCAUGGUCUUCCAAGCAUAAUAUGGGCAACUUUCAUCGGCAAAAUUUGAUGAAUAAUAUUAUAUUUUCUUUCAUUGCAAGGUUGCAACCUUCAAUGGUGAGANNNNNNNNNNNNNNNNNNNNNNNNNNNNNNNNNNNNNNNNNNNNNNNNNNNNNNNNNNNNNNNNNNNNNNNNNNNNNNNNNNNNNNNNNNNNNNNNNNNNUUCAUGUAAUUGUUGAAUAUUGUGAAAUUGGGUAUAAAAUUAUAUAUAUUAAACUAUGUGGUUUGAUUGACACUGUUGAAUUGUUCCUGUGGUGUUGAAGUGUUCUUUUCGUAUUCUUUGAACUUAGUAAUCCCUUUAACCCCUUGGGUGUUAGGCACCCUACUGAGCAAUGUGGAAAUGCUCACCCCUUCCUUGUUACACCUUUUUAGAUGCAGAUAUCUCUCCUGAGGAUCCACAGGUGGGACAGGGAGGAUUUCAGGAUGCUCCUGGAGCGGCCUAGUGGAGCGUGGCAUUUAUUUGUUAUUGUGUUCCUUUUUGGAUUUUGGGGAUUUGUUUUAGCAAUUAUGACUCAUGGAUUUGCUAUGAAACUUUAUUUGAUUAAGUUGUUAAUUGUGAACUUUUAUUUUGGACUAUAAUGAAUAUUUAUUUAAUCUUGUUGUUUUGAGUAGUUUUGGGAUAUUGUAAUUUAUGAGAAUUCUAGUGAGAUGUAUAUAUAAAAAAAAAAAUCCAGAGUGUUUUGGUUGACUGCCAACAUGGAAUAGGAGGAACCCUUAGGCUCAAACCUUUGACCUGGGGUCACGGGUCAAAUUUUGGGUCGCCCGGAAUUUGGGUCGUGACACAAUCUCUUGGUUGCAGGGCAAGACACCGUAAGUGCAGCUUUGAGUUGGUUUUUCUGGCUCAUUGCGACACACCCAUUAGUAGAAAACAAGAUUUGGGAAGAGAUCAAAGCGAAUUUGCGGGAGAAGGAUGACGAGAUCUGGUGGGCAUUCAGUGCACAAGAAGUAAGUAAGUUGGUUUAUCUCCAUGCAGCUUUGUGUAAGACACUACGGUUGUUCCCACCAGUACCUUUUGAGCACAAAGCUCCCGUUAAAGCUGACAUCCUUCCAAGCGGCCACAAAAUUGAUCCAGACACUAAAGUGCUAUUCUCUCUGUAUGCAAUGGGGAGGAUGGAAGACAUAUAGGGGCCAGAUUGCUUAGAAUUCAAACCUGAGAGGUGGAUUUCAGAGAGAGAAGGAAUCGUACAUGUACCAUCUCACAAAUUCAUAGCAUUCAAUGCAGGACCGAGAAGCUGUUUGGGUAAGGAGAUGACUUUCACCCAAAUGAAGAUAGUUGCAAUUGCCGUUAUUUGUAACUAUCAUGUUCAACUGGUGGAAGGUCAUCCUGUGUCCCCAAGUAUCUCUGUCGCACUUCACAUGAGACAUGGCUUGAAGGUUAGGGUCAGUAAGAGACGCGUUUGAUAAGAAGACUUAAGUUUACUCGGGGAGGUAAGAAUGCUGGUGAAGAUAGAAGACUUAACUUAAAGACUUAAGUUAGCAACGUAUGGUUUGUGUUAUUCAUAAAUAAAUAAAUGUCAAUGACCUACUGGUCAACAGGGUUAUGUUCUCUGAGAUUUGUAUGAGAUUAGGAUCUGUGUUACUUCAUUUUGCCCUCUGGCAAAAACGUUUAUGUAAUGUAAUAAAGCAAAUUCAAUGAAUAGAUAGAGUCAAGGGUACGACAGACAACGCCGCCUACACGCUUUUGUGAAUGAAUGCAGGGCUGGGCCACCUCCAAGGGCGUGAGCCGCAUGGGGGGGGGGGGCGGCGGCGGCGGCGGCACGUACAGUUUUUAG
rnacentral:lncRNA from 1 species